rnacentral:misc_RNA from 1 species
UGGAAAUCGCAGCAACUUGUGCCUUGCCAUGAAAAAGUGGGGAAUGACACAUGAACCAGCAUAUUUAUACACAUCCCACUCAAAUCACACACUGACACAGCAUCUUUCUUUGAUCGACUAUCAUACAUAAACAAAAGCAGCAUAAGUUCUUCUAAAUGAUAUAAUGCGUCUGCUUUCAGAAAUGGCAGAAAAAGCAGAUAGCAGCUACGCCACAAGUCUUGAAGAUUCACCAACUGUAAAUGCACCAAUGGGUUGUCCUUCAAGAAAGGUGUGUGAUAAAUUUCUGGGUUUUUUCAGUUCUUGGAGAAGGAACACACCUCCUACUGGUAGAAGAAUUUUCCAUAGGGAUGUCGAACAAGAUGACUUCCAGUAUGCAAGUACUCAUUGUCUCUCAUCAUACUACAGUGUUUUCGUGGUUCGUCUAGCUAUCAUGGUCAUGCUAGCUAUUUUGAUUGGGCUGCUAACCAUUCUAACAUGGCAUUUCACAAGGAGUUAUACAAAAAGGUCACUAGACACCUUAGCUUCUGGCCUUCGUUAUGAACUUCUACAACGCCCCAUAUUAAGAAUGUGGAACAUUUUGAAUUCUACUUCUGAGAUAACUACAGCCCAGGUUAAGCUGUCAGAGUAUGUAAUCAGACGGUAUAGCAAGCCAGCUACUCAAGCUGAGCAAGUUGAGCUCUAUGAAGUAAUGAGGGAUGUGACUUGGGCACUGUUUGCGAGUCGCAAAGCUCUCAAUGCCAUAACUAUAACUUACAGAAAUGGCUUUGUUCAGGCUUUCCACAGAGAUUAUCGCAGUAACAGUACAUUCUAUAUCUAUUCUAAUCUCGUAAAUUAUUCAAUCAGUGGCAAUGAGCCUUAUGAUGUCAAUAAGUUGUCCUCACAUCAAAAGUGGAAUGAACAAUCCAUUCAUGGUAACCUUUCAGCAAUUUGGUACCGUGAACCACUUGAUCCUCUAACAGGUGAAAAGAAAGGAAAAGCAAGCCAAAUUCCACCAGAUGAUCUAAUCAAUAUUGCAGGCUUUUCACAAGUACCAGAUGGGGUUGCUUCCUGGCAUGUGGCAGUAAGCAAGUAUACUGAUUCACCAUUGCUUUCAGCAGCAUUGCCUGUAAGGGAUGCUUCCAACAAAAGCAUAGUGGCCGUUGUAGGAGUUACUACUGCGCUCUCCAGCGUAGGCCAGCUGAUGAGAGAACUUGUUGAAGUCCAUGGUGGACACAUCUAUCUGACCUCUCAAGAGGGUUAUUUACUGGCUACUUCCACAAAUGCUCCUCUCUUAAGAAAUUCAACAACAGGGCUCAAGCUUAUGAUGGCUGUUGAUUCUGAGGAUCAAAUAAUACAAAUGGGAGCUCAGUGGUUAGAGAGAGUCUAUGGAAACAAGUUUCCUCCAGGGCACAUUGUUCAUGUAGAGAAUGCGAAGCUUGGCCACCAACAAUAUUACAUUGAUUCAUUUUUUCUAAAUCUAAAGAGACUGCCUAUAGUGGGGGUUAUCAUCAUUCCUAGAAGAUAUAUAAUGGGGAAGGUAGAUGAGAGAGCUUUCAAAACAUUGCUUAUAGUGAUUUCUGCAUCCGUAUGCAUACUAGUCAUUGGAUGCGUCUGCAUAUUAAUUCUCACAAAUGGAGUAUCAAAGGAAAUGAAGCUGAGAGCAGAGCUGAUAAGCCAUCUGGAUGCAAGAAGAAGGGCAGAGGCAUCCAAUAAUUACAAAAGCCAGUUUCUAGCAAACAUGAGUCAUGAAUUGAGGACUCCUAUGGCUGCCGUGAUUGGGUUGCUGGAUAUUCUUAUCUCUGAUGAUUGUUUGACAAAUGAACAAUAUGCAACCGUUACUCAGAUUAGAAAAUGCUCCACAGCUCUACUUCGGCUUCUUAACAAUAUAUUAGAUUUGAGCAAGGUUGAAUCUGGAAAGCUAGUGUUGGAAGAUACUGAGUUUGACCUGGGACGAGAACUUGAAGGACUCAUGGAUAUGUUCUCUGUGCAGUGCAUUAACCACAAUGUGGAGGCUGUUUUAGAUCUUUCUGAUGAUAUGCCAAAAUUUGUUCGAGGAGACUCAGCCAGAGUUGUGCAAAUAUUUGCAAAUCUCAUUAGCAAUUCUAUCAAGUUUACAACAUCGGGUCACAUUGUUCUCCGUGGUUGGUGUGAAAUUGCUUUCAAUGAGACCACAAAGUUUCCCCUUGAUCAGAAGAAAGCACGGUGUGCACUUAAGACAAAAUUGAGGCAGCAGGGGAACCACAUGAAGAAGACCUCUAAGAAAGAAAAUAAAGUGAUUCUUUGGUUUGAAGUUGAUGACACAGGCUGUGGAAUUGACCCAAGCAAAUGGGAAUCAGUAUUUGAAAGCUUUGAGCAGGCAGAUCCCUCAACAACUAGAUUGCAUGGUGGCACUGGUCUUGGACUCUGUAUUGUUCGAACCUUGGUUCACAAGAUGGGUGGAGAAAUAAAAGUUGUAAAGAAGAAUGGACCGGGAACUCUAAUGCGGCUUUACUUGCUUCUUAGUAAAACUGUAGAUGGUGUGGAACAGCAUUGCCAAAUUGAUUUAGUGAGUCAUAAUGUUGUGGUUCUGCUGGCACUAUAUGGUUCCAUGGGCAGAGCUAUUAUGUCCCAGUGGUUGCGUAAAAUUGGACUGCCCUCUUUAGGAGUAUCUGAGUGGAAUGAGCUGACACAAGUUCUUCGGGAGCUCUUUUAUAGAAGAAAACACAAUAAUGGCUUUGAGGCACAGUGUUCUCUGAAUGAACCAUUAAAAGCCGAAGUUCUUGAUAUACAAGACGUUCGGGACCCUGUAUUUGUCAUAGUUGUAGAUAUAGGGUUGCUUGACUUGAGCACAG